UAUAUUAAAAAUUGACAAAGCAGCUCUUUUUGGCAAUUAGACCGGCUGUUUGAGGGCGCGAGUAAGCCUGCCUCCCCGGUAAGCUUGGGCAGAGGGGACGCGGACCGGCGCGGGACGGGGUGAGCAGUAAAACGGCAACCAUACCUCCACACGUGAAUAUUUGAUGCUGAAUCUCGCCGCGGCUACGGAUACAAGGGCGUGGAGAUACAUGUCUCGUGUAGUGUAGAAUAACAAGAGGCUGGUGGAGAAGCAACACGCUGAGUGAUAAUAGUGCACACAAAACAAUUGUGAAGCUCCGUUGCGGCUUCUGCGGUUUUCGUCCCACACGAGCACUUUCACCGAUCCCCUGCUCAUUAGAGAUGCCACAUGGACUCUUCUGUAAACACUCGUCGCUUACAAAUAGCAUGAGUUGUUAACACUCGACGUAUUUCACCCAGACAUGUUUGAGAGCGUCAUGUUUUACGAAAACGGAUGUUCCAACUUUCCGUUAUAUAAAAAACAUAAAAUUAGGCUAUUACAUUGUACUAUUUUUGGAGUUGUAAAUAAAAAAAUUAAGGUUAAUUGUUUUGAUAUGCGUCUUGGCAAUUGCGCUACAAUGAUUUUUGUUUAAACAUAUGUAAUUCCUAAGUCGGGUAUUAUAAGACUUCAUUGUGUGGCCUGGGGUAUCAAAUACCGAGGUCAAAUGCCGACUGGCCUUAGUUACAAAAGCUUAUUUAUUAUGUUUUAUUAUUAUUAUAUUAUAUUUUCGCACAUAAUGUAUAGUGUCUAGAAAAUUGAGGAAUAACGAGUAAUAAUAAUACAUUAAAUUGUUUUUCCGUGCCAAAUCGAGCAAAGGGAACCACUAUGUACAUUAUAGACAAUAUAACUGUAAGAAAAUUUAUUCAGCGUGGUAAAAUAAUGUAGUUCUUACAGGUAAAAGAAGGGAAGCAUAGCGAAAAAAAAAAACUUAAGAACAGCGGCAAGUCGUGUCGGCAAUAAAUCCUUUGCGUCUCGAAACGGAAAACUAGACUUCAAAGUCAAUUGUUUUUCAAAGCUUGCAAUAAUAAAAUCUUAUGCUUUGAAUUAAAAAAUGGUUUUAAGAUUAUAAUUUUAUGAUUAAAAAGCGUGGGGUGCUUUCAGGAUCAAAAUAACCCUUCUACUCAUAUCUGUUUAUAAAAUAUUUGUAACUACUGAUACCAUGCACCCCACGCUUUUUUUUACAAUAAAAAUUUUUUUUCUUACACUACCUAUUUUUAAUUCAAAUUUAUUAAAAUUUAUUUUCUAUUUUUUAUUGGAUUUUCUAUAAAAACGUAUUUUGUUAGUUUUUUUUAAACUAUUAUUUAUAUUUCAUUUUUUGGUUGAAUUUCAAUUUUUGAUUAUUUUUUAAAAUAUUGAAUUGUCAUCGGUCUUUAAUAAGUACAUAUACCAAAUUUCGAGUUAAUCCGACGUUUUGAAGGGGGUCAAAAUCAUGUUCAAAGAUUCCGUUACAUACUAACAUCAUUGAUAUAGGGUUUUUAAAUCAAUGACUAACAUACAUACGUCUGAAGCUAAUAAAAGCGUAUUAAAAAGAAAAACCUUUAAACUCGUCGAAAUGAAUACAUAGCUCGCAGAAAGUGCUCCAUUAGUAACGUGAGUGCAAUGCAGUUCUGGUUUCGGUAUUAUGUUUGUUACUGUCUUUUACGUUUAAUCUAAUCUAACCGACAAAAUCGGUCACUAUGCAUUCAUGAGUAGGUACGUGCCAUUUCAAUUUCUGUCUAGCACUUAACUAAGUUGCACCAACAGAAUUUAUAUUUUGUAGUAAAAUUGCAGACUAAAACGUAACGCAACAACGUUAAAAACAUCUAUACUUCUAUACUAAUCUAUACUUAAUAUUAUAAAGAGGAAAGAUUUGUUUGUUUGUUUGUUUCGAAUAGGCUCCGAAACUAGCGGACCGAUUUGAAAAAUUCUUUUUCCAUUAGAAGCCGACAUUGUCCCUGAUGAACAUAGGCUACUUUUUUUUUUUUUUUUUGUUUCAUGUUUGUUUUAAUGUUUCCGAAGCGAAGCGAGGGCGGGUCGCUAGUAAUAAUAUUAUAAAGAGGAAAGAUUUGUUUGUUUGUUUGUAUUGAAUAGACUCCGAAACUACUGACCCAGUUUGAAAAAUUCUUUCACUGUUUGGAAGCUACACUAUUCCCGAGUGACAUAGGCUAUAAUCUUUUUUGAAAAAAAAAUAGGGAUCCUUACUAAAACUCCAAUAAUAUAACCCAAGGUGUAAAAACAAUACCUAAAAUAUUCUUUACAUCGUGUGCCCUGCGAAAACUAUUGAUGAUAGAAUAAAUUUGUAGAACACAUUAUUAUUUAUAAAAAAUGUCGCGACAGCAGAUGUUUAACUAUUAUAGUUAUGCCGCAAUAAGUCUUUUAUUUAAAAAAAUAAAACAACGUCGUUGAAAUUUUUGUUAAAGACCCGAGCGGAGCCGGAGCAGGUCGCUAUAUUCAAUAAAAUCGUUUUCAAAGCCGUAAAGGCAUAAAUAAAUCGAAAACUCAACUUUUUUUGCUUAAGUUUUUGCAGUGGAAAGCCUACUAAAAAGAAUAUACAGCAACGGAUAAUUUACGCUAUUACAUACAUUAACAAUUCGUAUUAAAUUGAGGCAAGUGACCAAGUACCUACCAGGACUGGGUCAGCGGGGCGUGGCGUCUGAGCUUGGCAUGUGCGAAUAUAUUUCCACAAUAUACUGAAGUAGUAAAGCGCAGUACUACUACAGUAAUAAAAGCUGAUUCGAGUUAUAUAAUAGACUACAGUUAAUGCUGGGAUGCAGAUCUGCUGUUUUAUUUUAGUGUUUUGAAUAUUCAUUUUUUUAUUCAACCACCCAUAUGCAUGUUUAAACCUACCCAAUGUAAUGCCCAACAAAAAGAUAGUCGCUUUUAUGAAUCGUGGGCGUGUGUAACUAUAGCUGUCCAAUUUCUAAAUAUUGGUAACGGAAUUAUCAAAUAAACAAUAUAGUUUUUCAUACAUCUGAAUGUUAUUCGUUCGCCUCGAUGUUUGUAAAGUAAUGUAUUUUUUUUAACACAUCGAAAUGCUCAAAUUCACAAGAAUAUUGCACGAAACAAAAAUAAAUUCGGCGUGGUGCUUUCGGUCGUUUCGGUAUUUUAAAUGACGUCACAAUCGUCGUUGACGUCGCAGAACGUAAGAUAAAAUUCAGAUGUUGAGUUUCCAACGAGAUUAUUCUAAAUUAUAGCACGCUGUUUUCUUAGAUCUGAACGAUAGAGUACUUUGUGAUGCCGACGAUAUUAUGUGAACCGUGCGGCGGCUUGAGUGCGGAUGAAACGUACACUAACCAAUUGUUGUAUUUAAUACAAAAACAGUCUUACAACAAUCAAUUUCUUUACAUCUAUCUCACGUUUUCAAAUUAUAAAAUUACAUUGUUAUCAUUCAUAUUCUUAAGCCGUAUGACUUCCUGCCGUCAUAUAUACAGUAUAUACGGAUAGUACUUUAAGGUGAAAGUAGGGGAAAUUUAGGGGGUGAAAUGAUAAGGAAAAUGCAGUAGGUUGGGUUUUUUUCUUUUUAUUGCUUAGCUUGGUGAACGAGGUCACGGCCCACCUGCUGUUGAAUGGUUAUCGGAGCCUGUAGACAUCUACAACGUGAAUGCCGCCUUCCACCUUGAGCAUGAGUUAUAAGGUCUCACUUGUAACAGUACAACGGCUGCCCCACCCUUCAAACCGAUAGGCAUUGCUGCUUCACGGCCGAGAUGGGCGGGGUGGUGGUACCUAC